UCCUCCGCUUAUUGAUAUGCUUAAGUUCAGCGGGUAUUCCUACCUGAUUUGAGGUCAUAUCAUGAAAUGAUUAUAGGUAUGAAACCAUGAUCAAUGGUCAUCCUAAUAAAACGUCCGAUAUUAUUCAUCAAGCGCAAUAAAAGAAAUCUUAAGUACGCUCAAAUCAUACCAAAAUGAUCAAUUUUAAGCCUCUUGAAUCAUAAGAUACAAGAUAGCUCAAUUCCGAAAUGUUACAAAAGAAACAAAUCGAUUUUUAUUUUAACGACCCUCAAACAGGCACACUCUUCGAAAUCGAAGAGUGCAAUUUGCGUUCAAAAAUUCGAUAAUUCAC
rnacentral:misc_RNA from 1 species